UCUUAGCGUGUUACAACAGACAAAUGUCCAGAGCGCUGGAUUCAGGAGCUGUGACUCACCAUCGUGGAUCCCAUAUCCCCAGGACACAAAGGGCACAAAUACCUGGGGGAAGACAGCAGGGUCCAGGGGACAGUCAGCACUCCACGUGAGCCAUGGCACCAGAAAAUUGUCAAAGAAAAACAAAUCCAGAUUUUGGUAAGGGGAGACUAUCUGAAAAGACUAUGGUAAUCCAGGGAAGCAUGGUUUUGAGGAAGCGUGGUCCUUUUCUGUAAGCCUGUUCCUGGAACACAAUGGGUAGGAGAUUUCUUGUACAGUGCUGUUUUCUGGGAGAACAGGAUUCAGAUUGACCCUGAGCUAACAUCUGUGCCACUCUUCCUCUAUUUUAUGUGGGAUGCUGCCACAGCAUGGCUUGACAAGAGGCACUAGGUCCAUGCCUGGGAUCCAAACCUGUGAACCUCGGGCUCUCCAAGCAGAGAACGCAAACUCAACCACUAUGCCACCGGCUGGCCCCUAUCAGUUUUCUUUUGACACUUCAAACAGAGCUAGUGUUUAAUAUAAUUUAGGUCUGAAGACAUGCUGUUAAUGGUCUGAACAAUUUGAUGUCAACUGUUGGGGGAGAGCAGGCAUAGACUUGGACUUUUUUGAAAUAGAGAUUUUCAAAAGAGGAGAGCCACCACACACCAGGAACCAGGUCAUCAUCACGCUUCUGUUCUUCAGAUUUCGAUUCUACAGGUUCCCUUUUAUGUUCGAUACAAUCCCAAGACCCACACCCCUCCCCCCAACACAUACAGGUACUUCCAGGAAUUGUUUUGCUAUCUUAAGGGAGAGAGAUCAAUAAUGCUCACAAGUAAACAAAUCUCAAAAAGUUGAUAAUGUACAUUUGAAAAUCCAUUUGUUUAUAUGUUUUAAAAACGGGGAAGUCAAAGCAAAGAAGACAAAAGUGUAUAAAUUUGAGAGAUAUUCAGAUAUCCAUGGAAGAGAAUUGCUCAGAAGAACAAAGCAGAGUAUAACAUUACAUGAGUCAUGGCCUUUCUCAAGAGAGUAAAACUCUAAGCCAGUUAUUAAUAACAGCCCAGAGAGUCUCCUGAUCCAUCUAGGAGCAUAUGGUGUUUUCACGAAAGAGAGAGAUCAUCUCCUUGACUUUGAACUUCGCUUUUUGAACGCCUGAACAGACUGGUAGAUUCGAUUCUCUAUCUGGAUGAAACAGAAAGGAAGGUUGUCUCAGAGAAGAUCUGUUUCCCAAAGUGCUACCCUAUAACUCAGGAGGAACCAAGGUUGCUAAGAGACCACCUGUGCUGAAUCCACUUUGUUCUAGCAAGAGCAGACGGAAAGAACACCAAGGAGCAGUGUUAGCUGUCACUACCUGGGAUUAAGGCAGGGAGCAGGAGCUUUCUGAAUAUGACGUGUAAAAACUGGAUAUUAAUUUCUACUACUACCCCCACAAGUCUGGAAGAGGAAAUUGUGGGAAGACUUCUAAAAAUUUUGUUUGUUAUCCUUGUUGACUUAAUGUCUAUUAUAUAUGUUGUUAUUAGUUCUUAGUUCUGACUUCCCUUACUUUACAUGUAAAUUCCAUAUUGAAUUCCAGUGAAUAAAAAUUUGUAGUCUAAUAUGUUGAGUAAAUUUAAUUUGAUGACAUCUCCAAUUAUUCUCAAAGC
ensembl:lncRNA